UUUGAAUGGCAGCUGUCAUUCUACGUCUGAUAUGUCCCUAUGUGAUGUUUGUGGCAUUUCUCUGCAUUUCCUGCAUCAUUUAUGCAAUAUGCUAAGUACAAUCCUAAAUGUAUCCAUUCUUUUGCUCUCUUUCAAAACUCCUGCCCCAAUAAUCUGAAACCUCCAUCCCUAACCACCUUUCACAUCCAAGGUUAAAGAAGCUCUCUGGAACUUCUGUUUGUUUGCAUUUUCUACAUCUGCAGAGAGAAGGGAUUGUAUCACCUGAGCGAUGCCUUAAACACGCAGAAAAGAAGUAACACCUUUAUAAUGAAAAGGAUUUAUGGCAGUGUGAGCAAAACCCAGUAUAAAUUACAUCUGAAGUUAUCAAUAGCUGCAGAAGUGAAAAAGUGCAGGCAUAGCUCCUUCACCACUGGAAGGCUUACCAGGAACGUUGUCUACUCCAUAUAAAACGUGUAAAAUAGCACAUAUGUGACUAGAAACAGGAAACCCACGCUGAGCUGACGCAGUAUCUAAUGUUUCAACACUGCAAUACACUUUUUCUUCCUUAGCCUUUCCCAUACAGGGUUCACAAUGAUGUGUAGGAUACAUUAGUUAUGCCUCUGCUACUGUCCUGCUUUUGUGUGGAAAACAGAAAUGAAAAGAGUUUUGCAAACCACUCAGCUCAUCCAUGGCCAUGAUGGAAUUCAGUGCAGGUCUCUACCUUCCAACACUCUGCUUUAGCCGAGUUUGCCUUGUUCUUCACAAGGGAUGGCUUCUUCCAGCAAACAAACACUGUCCCUGCUCAA